UUUAUUGUGAACUCAGAGGACAGCCGGUGAGUGACUUUGCCCAGUUUAUAUGCCCACAAGGGUACUAUUGCCCGGCGGGGACACAGAUUGGCACUCAGUACAGCUGUCCUGCAGGGAGGUAUGGUCCCCGACAUGGCCUAUCCAGCAUCACGGAGUGUGUACACUGCCCGCCUGGCAAAUACUGCCAGGAACCAGGACUGGCAGUGCCUACAGGGAAUUGUUCCUCAGGAUACUGGUGCAGAGAAGGAGCGGUGGAGGGGCGACCAGACGAUGGUGUCACCGGUGACCUCUGUCCUCCAGGACACUACUGUACAGAAGGGACACGCUCGCCCCUGCCGUGCCCUUCCGGCUCCUGGUCAGAUGUAAAGGGUCUGAGCAGCAUUCUGGAAUGUCAGCCUUGUCCUGGAGGACAUUACUGCAAUAACACCAGGCAGACGUCUCCUUCAGGGCUGUGUGC